GAGUUUGAUCCUGGCUCAGGAUGAACGCUGGCGGCGUGCCUAAUACAUGCAAGUCGAGCGAACAGAUAAGGAGCUUGCUCCUUUGAAGUUAGCGGCGGACGGGUGAGUAACACGUGGGUAACCUACCUAUAAGACUGGGAUAACUUCGGGAAACCGGAGCUAAUACCGGAUAACAUUUAGAACCGCAUGGUUCUAAAGUGAAAGAUGGUUUUGCUAUCACUUAUAGAUGGACCCGCGCCGUAUUAGCUAGUUGGUAAGGUAACGGCUUACCAAGGCGACGAUACGUAGCCGACCUGAGAGGGUGAUCGGCCACACUGGAACUGAGACACGGUCCAGACUCCUACGGGAGGCAGCAGUAGGGAAUCUUCCGCAAUGGGCGAAAGCCUGACGGAGCAACGCCGCGUGAGUGAUGAAGGGUUUCGGCUCGUAAAACUCUGUUAUUAGGGAAGAACAAAUGUGUAAGUAACUGUGCACAUCUUGACGGUACCUAAUCAGAAAGCCACGGCUAACUACGUGCCAGCAGCCGCGGUAAUACGUAGGUGGCAAG
rnacentral:rRNA from 1 species